rnacentral:rRNA from 1 species
AGAGUUUGAUCCUGGCUCAGGAUGAACGUUGGCGGCAUGCUUAACACAUGCAAGUCGAACGGGAAGUGGUGUUUCCAGUGGCGAACGGGUGAGUAACGCGUAAGAACCUGCCCUUGGGAGGGGAACAACAACUGGAAACGGUUGCUAAUACCCCGUAGGCUGAGGAGCAAAAGGAGAAAUCCACCCAUGGAGGGGCUCACGUCUGAUUUGCUAGUUGGUGAGGUAAUAGCUUACCAAGGCGAUGAUCAGUAGCUGGCCCUAGAGGAUGAUCAGCCACACUAGGACUGAGGCACAGCCCAGACUCCUACGGGAGGCAGCAGUGGGGAAUUUUCUGCAACGGGCGAAAGCCUGAUGGAGCAAUGCCGCGUGGAGGUAGAAGGCCUACGGGUCAUCAACUUCUUUUCUCAGAGAAGAAACAAUGACGGUAUCCGAGGAAUAAGCAUCGGCUAACUCUGUG